UUUGACCUUGAAACUCAGGUGUAUUUACAAUCAUUAAUAAGAUGUCUGGAGAAAGGACAGGUGUUUUAGUCACAUGGGCAAUGCUGAAGCUGAAGCUCUGAGUUUCCUGUAUUGUUUCAUGCAUGGUGAAAAAAUUUCUCUAACUAUGGAGACAGUUAAAGCAAAUAUAUAGUUGAAGUUUUCAAGUUGUAUGAAGCAUAAUCAUGACAUCUGAAAGCAGAGGGUAAUUACUUGUGAUGAGUGCCUGGGGGUAUGUUGGUCCCAGCUUGAAUCUUUGGCUGGAGAGAAAAUGAUGAAGAUGGCUUACCUGAGCACCAGACCAAGAGCUACUGUGGAAAUAUUUAAUUGACAGAAAUGCUCUAAUAAGAUUUCAAAUCUCAGAAACUUUAAUUACAAGAUUAAUGGUUUUCAGGCUAGGAAAAGUAACUGAAAUGUCACUUCUAGUUGUUUGUACACUCAUUCAUUUAUUCACUUGGCUAACUAACUUGAGCCAGGUACAGCACUUCCAAUAAAGUUAAAGUUGUAAUUUCCUUUCUCCAUGGUUAUAGUCCCUUUGAAAAUGUACAGUGUAGGCUGGGAGUGAUUCAGCUACCUCAAACACUUAUACACAAAAUGUUCUGUAGAAAUACAAAGCCCAUAUAUCAAAAAGGAGGGCACUACUUCUUAACAAGUAUAUUUUCCAAAAGGCCUAAAUGGGACACAGAGGAAGGAAAUGAAGGAAUUCUGAGAAUCUCUGACAUGUGACAGCGUCUGCCAGGGACUUGUACUGUAACAGGUGUUAGAGUAUAACACUGCACAACUGGUCUUGGCAAACAUCUCAGGGCUGAGGACUUGUCAUUUUGCUGAGGUCGCAGAUGUUUCUAGAAACUUGAUUAGAAGACAGAGUUCAUGCCUCAAAUAACAUAAAACCCUGGAACACAAACUGAAGUAAGGAAGUAUAGCACACACUGGAGGGUGAUGGCAGAAGGGAACUGGAGGGUAAUUACAAAAAAAGCAAGCAGUUGUUUAAGCUUUGCACAAUGUGGUGAUCUUGAAGCAUCUGGAAAUUUGUUUUCAUAAACAAAUAGCAUCUGGUUCUCUUCAUUGUUGUAUAGCCUAACCUUUUGUUAAGGAAACUUCAGAUGUACUCCUCAACAAGUAGUUGCCUGAUUUCUCUUAGGCAAUAACCAGAAGUGAAUGUAGA